UAUUUAAGGAGAUUAAUUUCCUUCCCGAAACCUAAAACCUAAUCUCUCCUUUUCUCCUCACGCACGCGACGCCGUUUUCUUCCCUCGGGCGAAAUCGCAGCCAAGGCUAGGGUUUCCUCCUUACGACGUCGGCGAGGUGUUUUCCGGCCGAUCUCCACUCGUGGGUGACUAUUCCGGCAGGGAGAGCUCGGGAAAUACAAGGAAAAAAAGGUGGAAUCGAAGUUCCACCGAAACCCUAGAGCGCUUCUCUUCGGUUGUAAGUCCAAGAACCCGAUAUACAGAUAAGAGUAAGGGAAAAGCUAAAGUGUUAUAGAGGAAGGCGACAAGGAGACGUUGGUGGUGUGUGUGUGGUGGCGGAUAUGGAAGCUUGGGACCUUGCUAGAAGAGUUUAGAAAUCAUAUUUGCUGGUGUUUAUGUUUCUGUUAAAGUAGAAUUUAUUUUGCAUUGCUAAGGAUUGUUUUAGAUUGCUUCUUUUGAAUGUUAGAACAAUUAAUUGGAGUUUGCUGUAGAGAAGUUUCCUGGCAUUACUAGUUUCGUAAUCUUCCUGUCAGUUAGUUGGAUUAACUGUUAAAGCUGAGAACAUGUUCUUUUUCCUUAUUCUGGAUUAGUUUUCAAGUUUGAGUAGUGA